ensembl:lncRNA
CGAGAUGAUCACUGUGGUCCUUUUCAACCCAGGCCAUUCUAUGAUUCUACGACUUUCACAGCCCCUGCCAGAAGCACACAGCCUGCCUGUGCCCAGGACGGGAGCAGCUGUGCAAUGGCUCAGACAUCCUUGCUGGGGCAUCCAAAGGAGCCCCUCUCUCGGUGUUCGGUGGUGUUUCUGGGAAUUUCAGCCUUGGGCUGGGGGCAAACCCAUGGGGUCUGUCCCUCCUGGGCACACCCUGUGAGGUCAUAGAAGGCGUCACUUGGCCUUUGCAGCUGUCACCUAUUAUGACAUCAGAACCCGCGGUCCUACUCAGCCACGCUGCCGAGGUGUGCAGCACUGCAGUCCCGCGAGGAUCGCAGAGCAGGCAACGCGCUGCCGAAGAGAGGGGAAGGAGGACUCCUGUCCUGCUUCUAGCAGUCCUUUCUGCUGGAGCCUUCCUCUGGAUAAUGGCAACUUGGAAAACCAAUGUCCUGCAGGUCAGUGCCGUGGUAUGCGGAAGAGGCCAAAGCUCUGCCCUUCUGCCUCCACGGGGACGGGGGAGUUUGGCCAUGGGCUCAUCACUGCUGAGACCCAGGGUGGGCCCUUGAACCGGGCUGGGGGUCGCCUUGGCAGCAAGGUGGGCUUCAGCGUGGAAGCAUCUUCCCAGUGUCCACCAUGGAGCUCAGGCUGAAGGCAGCAGCGCAUGGGAAGAAGGGGCCUUUGGCCCAUCCGUGGCACUGCGGAGUCUAAAGGGGAUGGGAAAGGAAAGGGAGAAGCAGCAGAUGCUCUGCAGCACGUGGAGGGCCUAAGAGCACAACUUUGGGCAGCGGUCCUAUACAAACUGCUGGGAAGCAGCAGGAAAUCCUGCCAGCGGUUCCCUGGGAAGCUCCUUUGGAAGCCCUGGCCGUGCUCCGUGUGCUUCCUCCCACUGAAUGCCUUUCUCUUCCAGGUGUCAGCAGGACCUGUGCAUGAGCUCCCGUGUCUGGGGUAAGAACACUUCCCUGCCACGCACCUGCCUCUGUAGCGUGGCCUCAGCUGGCUGUGCACUCUUUGCACGCUUUUGCCUCGUGCCCAGGGCUCCAGCCUUUCCCAUCUGUGCAGUGGAAGGCAGCCCUUGGCAAAGC